rnacentral:lncRNA from 1 species
AUCUUUCUAUCUUUUUUUACUUUACUUUUCUUUCUCAUUUUUUCAUUUUUCAAGUGAGUUGUGUAAGGAUUUGAGAGCAGUCCAUUUGGCCAUUGGAGGAGCAUUUUGGCUUGAUUGCUAUAGCAAGGAGUGAAGCAAAAAAGAGGAGCAAGGCUCGAAGAACCAUUGAAAACGGCUUUGCAAUUCUUUCCCUUUAGUUUUUAAUUUCUUGUUGUUCAAUUUAAGAAAUCAUGUUUGCAACUGAAUUUAUUGAUUUUAAUAUAAUUAUG